UACGGAGGAUGCGAGCGUUAUCCGGAUUUAUUGGGUUUAAAGGGUGCGUAGGCGGGUAUUUAAGUCAGUGGUGAAAGACUGUUGCUUAACGAUAGCAUUGCCAUUGAUACUGAAUAUCUUGAGUAUAGGUGAGGUAGGCGGAAUGUGUAGUGUAGCGGUGAAAUGCUUAGAUAUUACACAGAACACCGAUUGCGAAGGCAGCUUACUAAUCUAGAACUGACGCUGAGGCACGAAAGCGUGGGGAU
rnacentral:rRNA from 1 species